AAAUAAAAUUCUUUAUGGUUUAAUAAUUUAUUAUAAAUUUAUUUUACAUAUAAAUUUUAGUGUUAAAUAUUAAUUAUUUAAAUAAUAAUUAUUUAUUUUGUAGUAAUUAAUAUUAAAAUAUUUAAGAAAUUAAGAUUUAGUAAUAUUUAAAUUAAUAACAAAUUUUGUGCCAGCAGUUGCGGUUAAACAAAAAUUAAAUUAAAUUUUAUUAGUAAUUAAUUAAUAAAUAUUUUUAUAAUAAAAAUUUUAAAUUAUUAGGUGAAAUUUUAAUUUAAUUAAAUUUUAUAUUUAAAUUUAUGAUUUAAUAAAUUUUAAAAAAAAACUAGGAUUAGAUACCCUAUUAUUAAAAUUUAAAUUUAUAAUACUAAAAUAGUAAUUAAUUAUUUAUUGAAACUUAAAUAAUUUGGCGGUAUUUUAGUUCAUUUAGAGGAAUCUGUUUAAUAAUUGAUAAUCCACGAAUAAAUUUACUUAAUUUAAUAUUUUGUAUAUCGUUGUUAAAAAAAUAUUUUUAAAAAAAAUUAAUAUUUAAAAAUUUUGAAUUAAUUUAAAUCAGAUCAAGAUGCAGAUUAUAAUUAAGAAUAUAAUGGAUUACAAUAAAUUUAUUUAUACCAAUAUUAAUUUGUAAUAAUUAAUUGAGGGUGGAUUUAAAUGUAAUUUUAUUUAAUUUAUUAAAAUGAUUAACAAUUAAAAUAUGUACAUAUUGCCCACCACUUUCAUAUAAUUAUAAUUUAAUUAUAAUAAAUUGAAAUAAGUCGUAACAAAGUAGAGGUACUGGAAAGUGUUUCUAGAAAGAA
rnacentral:ncRNA from 1 species